rnacentral:tRNA from 1 species
GCUUUUCUAGUAUAUCGAUUACAAUAGACUUCCAAUCUUUAAAAUCUGGUCUGACCCCAGAGAAAAGCA